UACGAGUGGUGCAAGCGUUAUCCGGAAUCAUUGGGCGUAAAGGGUGCGUAGGUGGUCUUGAUUAGUCUCUUGUUAAACCUCCCGGCUUAACCGGGAAUCUGCGAGAGAAACGGCAAGACUAAGAGGAUGUGAGAGGUGUGCGGAACUCAUGGUGUAGGGGUGAAAUCCGUUGAUAUCAUGGGGAACACCAAAUGCGAAGGCAGCACACUGGCACAUACCUGACACUGAGGCACGAAAGCGUGGGUAGCGAACGGG
rnacentral:rRNA from 1 species